GACGAACGCUGGCGGCGUGCUUAACACAUGCAAGUCGAACGGAAAGGCCCUGCAUUUGUGGGGUGCUCGAGUGGCGAAAGGGUGAGUAACACGUGAGUAACCUGCCCUUGACUUUGGGAUAACUUCAGGAAACUGGGGCUAAUACCGGAUAGGAGCUCCUGCUGCAUGGUGGGGGUUGGAGAGUUUCGGCGGUUGGGGAUGGACUCGCGGCUUAUCAGCUUGUUGGUGGGGUAGUGGCUUACCAAGGCUUUGACGGGUAGCCGGCCUGAGAGGGUGACCGGCCACAUUGGGACUGAGAUACGGCCCAGACGCCUACGGGAGGCAGCAGUGGGGAAUAGUGCACAAUGGGCGGCAGCCGGAUGCAGCAACGCCGCGUGCGAGAUGACGGCCUGCGGGGUGUAAACCGCUUGCGCCUGUGACGAAGCGUGAGUGACGGUAAUGGGUAAAGAAGCACCGGCUAACUACGUG
rnacentral:rRNA from 1 species